rnacentral:rRNA from 1 species
UACGAAGGGGGGCUAGCGUUGUUCGGAUUUACUGGGCGUAAAGCGCACGUAGGCGGGUUGUUAAGUCAGGGGUGAAAUCCUGGAGCUCAACUCCAGAACUGCCUUUGAUACUGGCAACCUAGAGGCUGGAAGAGGUUAGUGGAAUUCCCAGUGUAGAGGUGAAAUUCGUAGAUAUUGGGAAGAACACCAGUGGCGAAGGCGGCUAACUGGUCCAGAUCUGACGCUGAGGUGCGAAAGCGUGGGGAGCAAACAGG